rnacentral:rRNA from 1 species
GACGAACGCUGGCGGCGUGCUUAACACAUGCAAGUCGAGCGGUAAGGCCCUUUCGGGGGUACACGAGCGGCGAACGGGUGAGUAACACGUGGGUGACCUGCCCUCAGCUCUGGGAUAAGCCUGGGAAACUGGGUCUAAUACUGGAUAUGACUCCACGGUGCAUGUCGUGGGGUGGAAAGCCUUGUGCGGCUGAGGAUGGGCCCGCGGCCUAUCAGCUUGUUGGUGGGGUGAUGGCCUACCAAGGCGACGACGGGUAGCCGGCCUGAGAGGCGACCGGCCACACUGGGACUGAGAUACGGCCCAGACUCCUACGGGAGGCAGCAGUGGGGAAUCUUGCGCAAUGGGCGAAAGCCUGACGCAGCGACGCCGCGUGAGGGAUGACGGCC